CUGCUUUUAGUUCACUCAGUCAGUGUGUCGAUGUACCAAUAUAGCAAUUUAACCUAUACAUACACAAACACAUACACACAGUCCGUAAACGUCGGUUUGUGCGGUUAGCAAUCACGUUUGUGCCUGUGGUUCUACCCUUUUCCUUCCGAAAGGUUUGUGAUUGCAUUUUGGUACCUGCUGGUCAUGGUGUGACUAAAUUGCUGAUCAAAAUGCCAGACAAUUGUAAAUCGUGCACGUUGAGGGAUGCGAACAACAACACGUAUCCGGCCCCAGUGAACAGCAACAUAUCCGACAGAAAUCAUCCCUCGGGCAACAAACAGAAGAGCGUACAGGUCACGGCGAAAGUCUUGUUCGGGUCCGUGCACGCGAUCAACAGACUGAAGCAGGAGGAGAAGACGGCCAGAGAAAAUAAACGUAUCUAACAAGGAUAUUGAAAUGGGGGAUGACACGAUAAUAUAAAUAACAAUUAUAUAGAUAUGCCAGUGUUUGUGAUGAGUGUGUAUAAAUUAUAUAAAACUAUGUAUUCUUAAUAAAUUAUUUGAAUAUUU